rnacentral:lncRNA from 1 species
ACUGUCUAAUUAACAUAUAAGUAAUAUGAUUAAAUUUAAAUCACAUGCAUGCAUUCAACUUUAAUAAAUUUUCAUUACAUUCUUUGCAUCAUUUCUUUUGUACAUCACAUAUUUCUCAAAAUAUAACCAUUUGCAAUUAACUAUGAAAUUCUUUUACAUCGUUCAUUUACACAUUUUGAUACAACUAAAAUCAUCAAAAUACAAAAGAUG